rnacentral:rRNA from 1 species
UUGACCUCGGAUCAGGUAGGGAUACCCGCUGAACUUAAGCAUAUCAAUAAGCGGAGGAAAAGAAACCAACAGGGAUUGCCCUAGUAACGGCGAGUGAAGCGGCAACAGCUCAAAUUUGAAAUCUGGCGUCUUUGGCGUCCGAGUUGUAAUUUGCAGAGGGCGCUUUGGCAUCGGCAGCGGUCCAAGUUCCUUGGAACAGGACGUCACAGAGGGUGAGAAUCCCGUACGUGAUCGCUAGCCUUUACCGUGUAAAGCCCCUUCGACGAGUCGAGUUGUUUGGGAAUGCAGCUCUAAAUGGGAGGUAAAUUUCUUCUAAAGCUAAAUACUGGCCAGAGACCGAUAGCGCACAAGUAGAGUGAUCGAAAGAUGAAAAGCACUUUGGAAAGAGAGUUAAAAAGCACGUGAAAUUGUUGAAAGGGAAGCGCUUGCAGCCAGACUUGCCUGUAGUUGCUCAUCCGGGUUUCUACCCGGUGCACUCUUCUAUAGGCAGGCCAGCAUCAGUUUGGGCGGUUGGAUAAAGGUCUCUGUCAUGUACCUCUCUUCGGGGAGAACUUAUAGGGGAGACGACAUGCAACCAGCCCGGACUGAGGUCCGCGCAUCUGCU